CGGCCGGAGCCCCUUUUCUAGGCGAAGAAAGGUACCUCAUUCCUUUUUUAUUUCACAAAAUAUAUGUAGAUAUAUAUAUAUAAGAGCAAAUAAAAGAAAGUAAAACCUUAGAAUAACUCCCUUGAUCUAUUUUUAUUUCCUGAAGUGCUCUCUAUUGUAUGUAGUACAACUGUUCAUUUUUUUUAAAAAAAAACCCUCCUUCUAGAACCAUCUGUCCUCCUCUUUUACAAUAAAAAAUUGAAGGCUUUAUAGCCAAAAACCAUACAUUUUCCACCUAUCUCUUUGCUCCAAUUGCAGGUGUUGCAGUUGUGGAGAACGAGGGGCGUGAAACAUGGGUGAAAACAUCGAGCGGGACAUACGGGAAUCGUGAAUGGAGUAAGUGGAGGUAUGGGCAAUAGGACAGGGCAAGUUGGCCGACAGUCAAGCAUAGGGAUGAUGGCUAGGUUUUUUUUAGUCUUCUUCUUUCCUUUUUUUUUAAUUGCUAUGGGCUAGUGUUAAAGGGUUUUGGGCUGUUGGGUUUUUAGAUGUUGGGCUUUUUAGCCCGGGCAAAAUUUGGGCUGUACAGCGAGAACAAGGCCGGAAAUCCCAUCGGAGGGAAAAGAUUGUCAAGUUAGGAGUAUUAAUGGACAUCAAUCUUAAAAAUGGGAAUAAUAUUAAUUAUUGUUAGAGAAUGCUAGAGAUGGUAAAUAAAGAGGCAGUGUCAGAGUCUGUUUC
rnacentral:lncRNA from 1 species